GCGCCCCCGGGGCGGCAGGGGCAGGAGCGGGUGGAGUAAGAUAGGGGGGCUCUAGGGAGAAUGGGGCUUGUUUACCCAGGAACCAGCCUGUAACUCCUGGGGAGAGGGGAGCGGAGAGGGGGCAAAUGCGGGAGAAAGGGAGAAAGCGAGGCAACUCGGGGCUCAAAACAGUCAAAUUCAAAUUAAAAGGUCAAGACACGAUUCAGGUUCGUCAGGUUUGGCCUGGGAACUCAGUUUGGGGACCUUCAGUCACGGAAGCUGAUUGAGUUGCAAGCUCCCAGUGGAAUCUCCUCUCUCUGGGGUGGACCAGGAAACGGAAUCUGGAGAAUAACUUGUCUUUCCGGUUGCCCCGCAUUUUCCCUUGGAUGAAGCCGCCUCGGGUUUCGACUUUCGGAAGGGCUGGAGCGUGGCUGGGAAAAGGAUCGGAGCUCCAGGCGCCCUGGCGUGAAGUGAGGAGGCUGGAUCGCUUCUAGGGAGGCCCAAGCCCCCGCUGCUAGAACGUGACUUCGGAAAGAAAUCCGCCGAAUUCUCUCAUCCAGGGGGUGAGAGAGAAGGCAAAGGGGUCCCUGAAUUUCGGGAAAACUGGAAGAAAAUAUGUAAUGUGUGACUUGCUUGCAGGGCCAGCCAGAGGAGAUCUGAAAUGGUUUUGUGCUUUCAUUUGCAGGGUUAGCGGUGGGCUCAGCACAGGUUUGGCCUGGGCAAGGUUAGGCUGUUUAGGCCCCAGACAAGACUUGGGACAGCCUCGGCAGCCGUCAAUCCAGGGAGCCAUUUGUCCCACCGCCCACCCCGCGGGAAACGGCAGAGACUUUAUGACCACUCUGUUUGUAUUAUCUGCAUAAGUCUUUCCCCACCAGUUUGAUCGAAACUGUUCGCUUUUACGAGGACCCAACGAAAAUUCCCCGUCAUAUUUAUCAGCCGGGGAUAAAAAUUUAGUAUGGGAACUGAUAUUUCCUCAUUUAUGGGGCGAUGAAAUUAAAGACCAAAGCAAUUGAGAAUUAUAUGGCUUUGGGGGGUUCCCUCCCCCCUCUUUCACAUCUCCUUUAUUUUCCUUCCUGGUGUGCCUGUCCCUGGAGUUUGGAAUCCCAGUCCCCUGCCCUUGCCCUCAUUUUGGGGUUUGCUGGGCCCUCUCCCCACACCCAAAUACUGCUUGGCCACGUCAGCUUUUCCUGGUUUUUCUCUGAAUAAAAAACCUGCAAUCCCGGAGCCUCUGCCCAGGCCUGGCCGUGGAAGGUUGCAAAGAGCCUUGGACGGGAAGAGUGUGAGCCCAGCCUGGGAUGGAGUGUGGGAGGCAGUGGGAGGAGAGUGCUGGAGACGAACUCCAGAUUACCUCUCAAAAAACAGCAAGCCCCAAAGCUUAACUCAGGGAACCGGCGGGAGAGGAACAGAGUCACUCGGCCUCCGGACCUAUCUCCCCCUAAAGCCCGACCCCAGUCCCAAACUCAUU